GUCUCUGUGGUACAAUCAGUUAGCGCAUUUGGCUGUUAACUGAAAGGUUGGUGGUUUGAGCCCACCCAGGGAUG
rnacentral:tRNA from 1 species